GUGUCCUUAUCACCUCCAUUUCCUGGAAGAGUCAGUGCAGGAACCAAGGGCGGAACUCACCUUAGGAUCCUGUACCUAGGAAGUGGCAACUGUAGACGCCUGCAAGGCUACUUAGGAAGGGGGGAAGGAAGCCUGGAUCACUGGAUUCUAGACUUGUGCAUCUCUGAAGCUAGUGGGGAGGAGACUGAUGAAAUCUCGACUGUGAAGGAGUUUGUAUUUUGUAGUGAAGUCUACGCCACCAAUCUCAGUUGGUGUUGAUGGUCAUUCGUUAUGGGAGAGAGGCAGACACUGUUAUUCCAUAUGGUCUUUUGCAAAAGGGAGGAUCUGAGGCUUGGAGGGGUUAGACCUCGUGAAUCCAACGUCUAGGUGUCAAAAAGUCUAGGUCUAACCAGAGCUCCUCUACUUCUGGUUUCUCUUCUGAACAUGUGUCCCCACCCCCAGCAAGUAUUCACCAAGCUACUUUCAGUUCCCCAGGGACCUCAGCCUCCCUCCUGCUCGCUCAGUCAGCUGCAAGGCACUUUCCUCCAUCUUGGAGGCCUAGCUGACCUCUUCUUUAUCCUGGAGCCAUCCCACCUCUGUUUGAAUUGCAGCUCCAUCGUUGUUUUUGACUGUGGGCCCCAACUUUCUCACCUGUGAAAUGGAGAGAAUAAUACCGGCCCCAUAGGGUUGUAAGGACAAGUAAUGAUCUACACGAAGUUCCCAAUGGAGACUGUGUGCUCAAUAAACACAGGCUGCUGCUCGCGUGCCUAGAUUUUCCUUGAGUAUUGCUCUCCCGUGAAGCCUUCUCUCAUCCUUUGGCCUAGCUCAGGACCUGCCUUGGCCACUUCAACCUUUACUGUUUAAGGUGUCACUCAUCGCUGUGUUUUAUAAAAAGAAAGAAAAGCCAGGCAUAUGUUUGGUGGAGGCACGGUAUGGUGUAGGGGAAGGGGGUGCCUCUGCGGGCCCAUGCUGAGGCAUCCCUUCCCCCUGAGGGACCAGCCACAGGACGGUAUAGUGUAGAAUAGGGAGGGGAGCUGAGGGGGGGGGGAGGAGGAGGAAGAGGAGGAGGAGGAGGAGAGGCUGGUCAUGAGCACAUGGAGAGGGGAAAGGGGAAUGGAGAGAGAGGGUAAGGAGCAGGAAAGAGCAAAGACCAAAAAAGAGAGGAAGGGGUAAGCAGCCCCUUUUACAGUGAGUCAGGUACACCUGAUUGUUGCCAGGUAACUGUGGGGUGGAGCCUAGCCUAAAUGCUAACGCUCAUAGUGUUCAUUUACCUUCUUUCUAUGACAUUUUCCAGCCUGUAAUGCUAGUUUCUGGAUUCACCUUUGGAAGUACGAUAUCCAGUGCACCUUUUUUUUUUUUUUUUUUUAAGUCGUGAAAGGCAUAGACACUUUGUUGUCCAUGCAGGCAGAGUGGUGGAAAAAGGCCUCAGUCAUGACAGUGGGCAGAAGGCAGCUGGGUACUCACAAAGCAGCCUCAGCCGAGGAGAGAAUACCCAGCUAGUUUACUGAUUUAGUAAGAGCUGCAAAGCAAGUCCGUGGCCUGGGUUGGGCUGGUAGUUUUACCACAUGAGGUCCUCAACUGGUCUUUGAUGUCCCUGUUAUGUAUGUAUAGCACAUAAGCCACGGGGACAAGUCCUUGAAGUUGAUCUCAUCACAGCAAAUGCUGUGCUCUGCCUACAGGUGCUCCUUAGGCGUUUGUCUACGUCCAGAAGGUUCUUGUCAGCCAUGGGCACCUUGGGCUCCUUAGUAGGAACUCAGUCAGUAUCUAAUAGACUAUUAUUAUUGUAGUCAAUGUUCAUUCUGAGUCAGAAGGGCUACAAGGAGCCUGUGAAUUAGUCAUGGGUCUUCCCCCACAUUGAUGCAAAUAACUCCUAAGCAGUCCACAGACAUCGUUCUCUGUAGAUAUACUGAAAAGCGUGUGUGUGUGUGUGUGUGUGUGUGUGUGUGUGUGUGUGUGUGCGCGCGCGUGCGUGUGUGUGUGUGUGUUCAGUCUUCAGACACACCAGAAGAGGGCAUCAGAUCCUAUUACAGAUGGUUGUGAGCCACCAUGUGGUUGCUGGGAACUGAAUUCAGGACCUCUGGAAGAACAGUCAGUGCUGAGCCAUCUCUUGAAACCCUAGGUUGAUGGUCUUAAUUAUGUGACUUCAUGCUAAGACACCCAGUUUGUCCCAUCCAGCUCUGGAUGAACUUCAACCUCUAGUCCCCUCAGUCAGGGACCAAACUGGAUAUUUUUAGAUGUGUCCUAGCAUACCUUUGCUAUCUCUGAACAAAACAUUUAUUUUGAUAAAUAGCACCUCUCUAGUCCUACUUUAUAGAAAUUUUGCUGUCUGAAGCAGUGUAUUGUGGUAACAAAAGAGAAUCAAACACUGCAGAGUCUGUCCCUGGGUAAAAUCAUAUUGUACAUUGUUGGUUCCCAGUACCCUCCUCCCCCUUCCUCUUCCUGGCACACCUUCAAAGCAAUUUGACAAAUAUUGUUUGUCUGCCAGUUGUAAGUACCUUUGCCAGCUCCUUGGGAUAUAAACAGUGUGCACAUGAUGUAGUAGGGAAAGGAGACAUAUGAAACCAAUUCUAAUAGAAGCCAGAGUCUGUCAAGUGCUAAUAAUAGCUAACAUCGAUAAUCAUGUGCCUGACUCUCUAGUGGUUCAUAUAUGUUGUCUUGUAUAAUCUCCACAACAACUCUUGGGUAUGGAUUUAUGCAUGUCACAGUUAUAGAAGGAAGUCACUAAGCCAAAGUCACACAACUGGUAAGAGGCAGAGGGGACAUUUUUGACCAUGUGGUCAGUCUGUAAAGCUUGAACUAACAAAUGAGUUCUUCCUCCUGAGAGCCGCAAGACCAGUCCAAAGACAGUGCCAUGAGGAACACAACUCAGAAAUGAGUUCUCAGAACAUGUCUUAAAGAAAGGGCUGCUUUCAGCUGGACUUAGAAAGAUAAAUGAAGUUCAGUGCCCACAGAAAGCCCCUUCCUUCCCCAGUCACCAGCGCCAAAGGAACUUUUCUUUUUGCUAGGCUGCAGCCUGGACUGAAGCUCUAGUCCACGUUCUGAGCAGGACCUAUUUGCCUCUCAUCCUGUAGAUUUAAAGGCAGAAUUGCAGACUUGAGUCUUGACCUUGAGUUUAGGAUUACCAGUCAUGCAAUUAAAUAAACAUUUACAGAGUGAUCAGCGGCACAUUAGAUGAUCUCCUUAAUCAUGAUUUCCCUGCACAGUGAUAGAGUAAGUGGUGAGGUCUCUCUGGCAGCAUGAACUUGUACUGCUUGUCGUUGGCUAAAACACCUUUUCAGAGUCUUUCUCUCCCUCUGAGGCGUUACAGUUGCUUCUCUGUAAUCAGUAUUUGUGACCAAGGGAUGAGUGUUUAAUUCAGGUCAGCUUGUCUAGGGUAAUGGCAAGGCCUGUGGAAAAUUAUGUAGACUUUAUUCCUUCAAUUAUUUUGGGGAAAGGCCAAAACCUAGAGUAGCGAUUGUGGUGAAGAGUCAUCAGACAUUUUGAAGAUUCGACAGAAGAGGGGGUGCAUGAGCUUUGUUUUUGUCAUGUGUGCAUGUGUGUAUGUGUGUAUGUGUGUGGUGUGCACACAUGUGAGUGUCUCUGUCUUCAUCUAUAUGUGUCUGUGUGUGCACGCAUGCAAGUGUGUCUCUCUCUCUCUGUGUAUUUCUGGGUCUGAGUUUCUCAGACUUUAGACACGUGCAUCAUUGAAGAUCUUAAUAUUCGGAGUCUCCUCAGAAGCUCUGGGGUGAGGCUGAGGUCCUGCAUUCCUUCCACCGGCCAGGUGGCGAUGGCCUCGUUGACCACCCUGACUGGCAGUUCUACAAGGUCGAGCAAGUCUUAGUCUCUGUUUAUUUUGGUACUGGUAGAUGAGCCCCUCCCCUUCUUUACCCUCUACUCCCUGAGCUGCUGUGUGGAGCCAGUAACUCGCUAUGCCGUUGCAGGAUAAUGGGAAGCCUAAUUCAUCUUUUGGUGCAGAAAAACACAUGCCUUACAACCGGAGUUUCUGGCCUAGAGUUUGCCAUGAUCUAGGAACAAGCAUGUACCUUCAGCACACAACCUACUGCAGAACAGAAAGGCCUUCUGUUAGAGUUUUUAAAUAUGUUCAGCUUUAAAAAGAUUUAUUACGCCGAAGUAUGUAUGUGUGUGGGUUUUGUGUGGGUGUAUGCAAGUGAGCAUAGGUGCCCAUAGAGUCCAGAGGCCUUGGAUCACCUGGAGCUGAAAGUCCAGGCACUGGUGAGCCACUGACACAGGUGCUGGAGUGGAACUCGGGUCCUCUCCAAAAACAGCUCCUAAGAGUUCCGCUAUCUCUCCAGUCCCUGUUUUCAACUUUUCUGUUUCCCCACAGUUCCCAGGUUCACUAAGCUUCUCUCAUUCUCCCCUUUCAGCUUGAGCAGGGCUGGAAGCUCAUGUGUGGCUGCCUGUAGAAUCCUGUGCUGGAUCUAGGAGUGUGCGGGGAGCUGGGGGUUGCAGGGACUCGGGCUCUGAGCGUGGGCACAGCAUGCCGGGUACAGUGUCUGCACUGCACACAUAGGGUGGGAACGAUCCUAGUGGCAAAGAUAGGGAAGUGGGUGUGGAGAGGAAUGCUGAGGUUCCCUCAGGUUUGGAGAAAUGAGGCUGUGAAAGAGGGCGUCUGACCUAAACACAAUCUGCCCUUUCUGUCCCGUGGUAUCAAAGGGGUUAGAGACCAAAUUAUAGAAUCUGCCCAACACAGAUGUUUCCUUUGAGUUAAAAACAUUUUUAUGUAAAAAAUUUUUGACCUAGACAAAAGUCAACACACACACACACACACACACACACACACACACACACACACACACACCCUGACCCCAGACAAGGCUUGUGAUCCUUUUGCCUUAGUCUCUUGGUGUUGGAAUUAUAGGCGUGUAUCACCAAACCCGGCCACACACAUGCUUUACAAAAGGAGACAGUGAGUAACAAUGACAUUUCAAAACAAAAUGGGGGGAAAUAGACUAAUGCCUUUGAAGUAGAAUACGAGAAAGUAGAAGACAUGAAGGAAUGUAAGGAAUUAUUUUUUUGUGGUCAAAAUUCAAGGAGUGAUUUCAGAGAUGUUUCUUUUGGCCUCAUACAGAGCACGGGUACAGAGUUGCUCAGUGUCCACACGGAUGCUGUGUAGUACUGCAUGCAGUGAGGACUCCAUGUAACCCCGUUAGGGUGAGGAGAGGCCCUUGAGAAAGCUGACUGGGCCACCCCUCUCAUCUCACCUCUACUUGGUGCUGCCUUAAAACUCGUGAGAGCGUCGUGAUCAUCCGGGUGUUUACAGUUUUGAACUCUGGCUUUUAGUGAGCGUGUGAACCACAAGUGUUUUCCAUUAGGUAGCAUAGCCUGGGUUAGCACACUUUUUAGUUACGUAGCUGAUUUAACAAGUUCCGUCUUUUGCAACAUCCUCUAUAAACAUCAGCCCAGGGACUUCUUCCCUAAGUAAAGGUGCACCCUAUGAGGCUGGAAUCCCAGAAGUAAGAGUUCUAGUUUAAAACCUGUAAACGUUUUCUGAAACUCUCCAUAGCCACGCUAAGUUGCCCUCCCAAAGCCAAGUUGGUUCCCAAGGCAUGGGCCCUUUGUGCCACGGCUGCUUCCUGCUCUCCAGCAUCCUUGACAGCAUUAGUGACUGAUUAAAAAAUUAAUUGCAUCUACUUUAAGAGUCUUCAUAAUUCUUUAAAGAUUCUAGAAAUCUUAUUUUAAAAAAGAUUUAUUUAUUUUAUGUAUGUGAGUACACUGUCACUGUCUUCAGACACAGAAGAGGGUAUCGAAUCCCAUUACAGAUGGCUGUGAGCCACCAUGUGGUUGCUGGGAAUUGAACUCAGGACCUCUGGAAGAGCAGUCAGUGCUCUUAACCGCUGAGCCAUCUCUCCAGGCCUCUAGAAUCCUUAUGGUACUUUUCACACCAUGUGUUCAGUCUUUGCAUACUGUCCACAGUCUCUGCUCACCUAUUACUAACUUGCAUUUUAUGUUUAUAAUUUAAUUUCUGAGAGUGAUCCAUCACUGAAGACAUUUAACUUCUGCAGCACUUGCAGGAGUUCUGUGGAAUCUGUCCCUAGUGUCUUCAUAACGUUUUAUAGUGUUUUUGUGACGAGAUCCAACACAUUUUUUGUACACAGCUUAGUAGUUUAUAAGUAGUUUGAUACUAUAUUUUAAAUGCCUUUUUAACCUAUAUAAUGGUUCAAGUUCUAAAAAAUUCUAAUUUUGUUUAGAUUAUUCUUAAUUUAUCAUUCGCUUCUUAGUGUUUAGAGAAUAUGGCUUUAUAAUAUCUGAAAUAUCCUUGCAAAUGGACAGAUGGUGAAUUUUUAAAAACCUAUGAGUAUGCAUGGAUAUAUUACUUUUAAAACAUAAAAUUGAUAUUAAUCAGUUUCAAUCUUUUAAAUUGUGUUGGAAUUCAUCUCCAAUUAUAUUUUUCUCCUAAGUGAAAUUACAGUGUAUUCACUGUGUGUGUGUGUUUGAGUGUGUGUGUUUGCACUUAUAGGCAAAGGCCCAAAAUUUAUGUUGAUGUCUUCCUUAAAAAUUGUCAACCUUAUAUAUUAAAGGAUGAACCAGGAACUUGCUGUUUGACUGGCAAGUCAGCUCUCAGUAUUCACCUACCUUUGUAGCUUAGACAGGCAUUCCCAGCUAUGCGUGGCCUUUUACAUGGGUGCUGGGGAUUUGAACUUAGGUUCCCAUGUUUUCACAGCAAGCACUCUUACCUACUGAGCCAUUUCCCUAAGCCCCGACUCCAAGUACUUUGAGAGAAUAAAUUGUGCUAAUUUGUGUCAGCAGCCGUUAUUAGGACACUAAUAUUUAAUAAGUGGGAGUGAAAUUGCCUUAGUUACCGUAUAGAUGGAUGUGGGUCAUAGACUGUUCUAUCACUUAACAGAUGUUAAUUCAGUUUUGAAACACCACAGAGAUUGGUGCCAUUCUGUUUGGCUCCUUCACUGAUAGCUGAGCGGUGAGAGCAGUGAGCUACUUAACUAAUGCCUCUCAGUUGGGAAACGUGGAGUUCAGACUCAGAUCCUGGGCGUUGGUCUCGUCAUUUGGAGAUAUGAUUUCCGUACCAUGAGACUCAUGCACUUGAGAUCUAUGGUUCAGUUGGUGCUAGAAUAUUUACACAAUUGUGGAUGAUUGUCACAAUCAGUUUCAAUACAUUUUAUUGUUUCAAAGCCUCUAUACCCAUUAAUAAUCACCCCAAUUUCCCAUCUACUCGUCCACCCUUGCCCUCUUCCAAGCCCUCGGCUCACACAGUCUAGUUUUUAUCGUAGGUCUGCCUAUACCAGCUAUGUCCUGUCUGAUACAGCCCAUGGUGUAUCUCAUGUUAGCUAUCUGUCCAUCACUCACCUGAUUGGCAGGCUGUUCCACAUCCUGUUUUUUGGUACAUGAACAACCUUUUGUGUAGACAAUACCUUUAAUUCCCGUAGGGCUAAAGCUGGAGUGGAAUUGUCCAGUAGUGUCUGUGUCUAUUCACUUGAGGCACAGAGAGACUAUUUACCAAAAUAGGUGUGCCAUUUUACCCCCAGAGUGUGAUUUCUAGAGUGUCCGCACCAUUGUCCGUACUUGUCAUUGUCUGUCAUUGGUUAGAGCCUUCCUAACAGGCGGUGUGGCGUCUAUGUGCCUCAGGUCUUGUUUCCAGUGGUUGAUGUUGUUCUUCGUGAGAUCUCUGGGCAGUUGUGCAUCUUCUUUGGAGAAAUGUCCAUUUGACUGUCUAUUUUUAAAAGUGACUUUAUUGAGUUGCAGGGAUUCUUUACACAUUCCUCUCGUUCAAAUGUAUGACUUUCAAUAUUCUUCUGUAUUGUGGUUUUUCUUUCCAUUUAAAAAAAAAACUUUGCUACACAAAAUUUUUUACAUCUUAAUGAUAUGCAGUUCAUAUUUUCUUUGGUAUCUCAUGUUUUUGGUGUCAUAUCUAAGAACUUGGCACCUAAUCCAAAUCCAUGAAGUCAUUUAUGCUUGUGAUUUUACUUAUUUUAUUUUGUAUGUUUAUUUUGCCUGCAUAUCUGUGUACCACAUGCAUGCGGUGUGCAAGGCGGCCACCAGAGGCCAUUGGAUCCCCUGGAACUAGAGUUGCAGAUGAUUGUGAUCUCCCAUGUGUGUGCUGGGAAUCAAACCUGGAUCCCCUGAAAAAGUAGCAAGUGUCCUUAACUUCUGAGACAUCUCUGCCCCCUCCUAUAUUUUGUCAGCAUUUUUAAUGGUUUUUAUCCCUAUAUGUAGGUUUCCAAUUCUUUCUGGUUUUCUCUUCCUCUCUCCACCCUUCUUCUGGAAUAUCCAGUUGCCCCAGCAUUGUUUGUUGAGAAGACUGUUGUUUUCCUCAGUGAAGGGUCUUGGCAUACACGAGAGUCUGUUUCUGGAGUCUCGGUUCUGGCUACUGAUCCUUCCUCCCACCUUUGCUCCACACUGUCUUGGUCACUAUAGCAUUAUAGGGAACUUCACAAUCAGAAGUGCGAAUUUUCCAGCUUUGUUUUUCCUUCUCAAGGUUGUUUUGCUACUGUGUGUCCCCUGCAUUUUCCAAUGAACAUUAGAACCAUCUUGUUAAUUUCUGUGAAGAAGCUGUUUGAGUGUUCGAUAAGGAUUGCACUGAGCAUAAGUGUAUUUGGAGAAGACCGCCAUUUUAACGCUAGCAAAGAAUUGGGCUGCAGCUCAGCGAUAGAUACAUAGAGGUCCUGUAAGCUGAAGGCAGUCUCCAGGACUACGAUUUAAAGAGACAAACAAAUCAUGGCUUCUUAUCCACGAGCAGGUGGUAGCUCUUAUUUUAUUUGCAUCUUUAACUUUCUCAGGAACAUUGAUUGUUUUCAGGCCACUGGUUUUAGGUACCUUUGUCAAACUUAUUGUUUCUCCUGUCAUUUUGAUGUCUUUGUAAGUAUAACUGGAGCCAGGCACAAACUCUAACCUCAGCCCUUCUGAGGCAGGCAGGCGGGUCUCUGUGAGUCUUUUGGUUAUAUGUACUGUCCAUCUUUUUUCCAGUGCAUUUAUUCCCCAUUUAAACCACUGGCCUUUGAUGUGAAUUUGCACUGUUGUUUUGGUGGAAGGAUUGAAGUAGUCUGUGCUCGUUUUUACUUCCCUUUCUCUUUUGACACAAACUUUGCUUGUUCAUCAUCAUGUAUACAGCUUCACAGACAUGUGUGAUGGAUGUCUUACUUUUAAAUCUGUGGGACUUUGAAAAGAUAAGCAGCCCGCUUUCAGUUGUAUCUCAGAAUUGAAGCACAAGUGAGCAGCUAUGAAGAUAGGACUUAAGAGCACCUGCUUCCUGUGUCUUUCUAUUUUAUCUUAAAUGUUUAAUCUGUGCAUGUUGUCAACAUCAGUACUGGAAGCAUAGUCACCAUCCACAGUGGUCAUCAGUACUGGGAACACAGUCACCAUCCACAGUGGUCAUCAGUACUGGGAACACAGUCACCAUGCACAGUGGCCAUCAGUACUGGGAACACAGUCACCAUCCACAGUGGUCAUCAGUACUGGGAGCAUAGUCACCAUCCACAGUGGUCUUCCUCUUUAGCUGUUACUAAUCAGACUCCUCUCUGAAGGAAUGUGCUGGUGUUCGGCGUGAUUCUUUUCUCAGAGUGCUGACUGCAUCCUUGAGUUCCUAAUCUGCAUCUCUUCAUGAAGAUCUAUCUUCUCAGCAUAGCACAUUAACUUCCCAGGAAGAUGAUGAUUGUGCAGAACAGCAGCUGUCUUCAGAACAGAAGUCUUCAUUGCCACGUCACUGGGGCGGGCCCUCCACUGUCUGGGAAGCUGAUGCUGUAGAGAGGCUGAGGACAAGGUUGUCUGCAGUGAACUCUAUCUCAGUGUUACUACUUUUGUGGCAAAGUAGCUGAUUGGCCUUAUUUAGAUUGGCCUAGGAUAACCUCCGCUGUUUUCCAAACGCAGGUGUUCUUGGGGAUGAGGAAAUCCUCCCAUCAUCUCUUUGGUCACUGCCCUCUCCUUUUAUUUUAACUCCAAGAGCGUAUUAUUUGGAUGUCUUUGAAUUUCAUCUUUUUUUUAUUUCUUCCUUAUGCUUUCUUUUCCCCCUUCAUUUAUUUUCCACCCUAUUUCAGUAGUAUUUUCCUGAGAUUUUCCUCUACGCCAGUCAAUUUCCCUAACUAGUGCCAACAUCAAAUUUGAUUCAGCUGCAGUGAUUUUGGCUUCCAUGGAAACUUUGGCUUGUUUUUUCUCAUAGCAAGAUCCUCUCCUAUCCAGUAGAAAUUAAAGAUUUCCCUUUCUGUCCUCCUUUAUAUCAGUCUAUCAAUGGAGGUGACAUUCUCCUCCAUCUGUCACCUUUACUGGAAAUUAUUUAUUUAUUUAUUUAUUUAUUUAUUUAUUUAUUUAUUUAUUUAUUUAUUGUAUGUGGGCUCUUUGCCUGCAUGCAUAUGCAUGUCAUAUGCAUAGCCCAUAGGGGUCAGAAGAGGGCGUUGGAUACCCUGGGACUGGAGUUACAGAUGACUUUGAAUUACCAUGUGAGGGCUGGGAGUUGAACUCAAAUGUUUAAGGUGCUCUUAACCACUGAGCCAUCUCUUCAGCCACAUUUUUUUUAAAUAUAAGGUUUGUUUUAAUAUAUAAGGUUUGACCAUAUGAGUUUGAUUUUUGGGGACUCACAUGGUUAAAGAGAGAAAGCCAAUUACCCUGUAAGUUGCUCUUUGACCUCCACAUGUCUGCUGUGGAGUGCACAUACCCCCUCAACAGAUAGAUAAAUAAAUGUAAAGGGGAAAAAGCCAACAAACCUUCUAUUUUUUUUUCUUUUUUUCGGAGCUGGGGACCGAACCCAGGGCCUUGCGGUUGCUAGGCAAGCGCUCUACCACUGAGCUAAAUCCCCAGCCCACAACAAACCUUCUAAUAGUGUGUUCCCAAUGGAGAAAAUACAGUGACAUGAUUGUGGGAUUUGGAACUUAACAACUGUUGUUGGGAUAGACAGAGUUCACAGAGUAUUUAUCCAUAGUAAGAGAUUAAGGUACAAAAAUCAAUAAAGUAGGAGUGGAGGGCUUCAUGUAAGAAGGGAGGUGUUAGAGCGAAAUUAGUUAGACCAAACAAAGAGUAAAUUUGGUCACAAUUGGAUCAUAAAAGCCGGCAAACGGAAGAUGGCCCAGUAUUCACUCAUCAGACUGCAGUUACUGAACAAAGUGCGGGCCAAACACGGGUUUAGAUGCAGAGGCUACACCAGGAGACAAAUAAAGUCCCUUCACUUUGGGGGCUUAUCUUCUAGGGUUGCAGGAGGCAGACAGUAAACAAUAGAGCAUACGUGUGCGCAGUGAACUGUGCCCAGAAGAAAACGUAGACAAGGCAUGGCAGAGGUGACGUCCUGUGGCAGGUUCUGGGUCACACGUUCUAGGCAGAGGGACCAGGAGCUACAAAGUCCUAAAGAGAAGUGAUAUGUGUAAGAAACAAGAACUGCAGCAUAGCUCGGGAGGAGUCAGAGCCAAGGGAUAGAAUCUAGGUCCUCGGGGGGCCUCACGAUAGGCCCUGGCUCGUAUUCACAGAGAAACAAACAUCCCAGCAGAUGCUGAGCACAGAAGUGGUUUGGCCCAGUCUGUGUUUUAAUAGGAUCACUCUGGAGAGAGACUGGCUAGUGAAGCAGGGCAGAGAUGAGGGGAGGUCCCCAGCAGUAGGUGGUCACAGGAGAAAUCUUGAGAAACAAAUGCAUUGUAUCUAUUUUGAAGACGGAGGCUGUAAAACUUCUCAAUUGGAUUUGAACCACAAAGAGAGACAGAAGCUUGACUUGGAAGAUUUGGCAUAUUCUGAGAAACUGGAAGGAUAGAGUUACUUUGAGACUAUAAUAGGAAGAAGGAGUUUGGGUGGGAAGACGAAAUGCUGUUCUCGAUAUGUUUAGUCCAGGCUACUGUCUUUCCACGCGGAUGUGAUAAAGUUCCUGACAGGAGCAACUUCAGGCAAAAAGCAUUUCUUUGAGCUCACUCACAGUUUAGGAGAUGUAGACUGACUUGAUGGGAAAGCAAUGGUGGAGGGGCCUGCAUGGUCUAGGAGGCUUGUGGCAUAGCUUCCUCAGCUCUCCCCAAGUCAGGAAGCAGAGGGCAGUUAACCAGGCCCCUCAUCCGCUUACCACUUGCAGUCAGGCCCUACUUCUUAAAAGUUCUCCCACCUCCCAACAUGAUACCACCAACUGGAAUCCAAGUCUUCAAACCCAUGAAGGAACUCAUGGGGGAAGUUUUAGUCAAACCACAGCAGACAUCAAUUUUAAUAUGAAGAUAGCAGAGACAGCACGAAGAUGUAUGCAGAAAUCUGGAGCAGGUGGGAGAACACUGAACUAGAGAUAAUAAUUUGGGUAAUGUGGAAACAUUUAAGUUCAGUGAACCUGGAUUAUCUGCAAUGAAACUAGUUGAGAAAAACCAAGGAAGUAGGUAUAGAUAAAAAAGCAGAGAGGUUUGGGGCAUUGAGCCUUGGAAUAUUCCAGAAGGUCAGCCCUAACCCCAUAUGUAUGUAUUGGGAGUGUGGAGGGGAGGAUAAACUAAGGGAGUAUGUUGUGUCCUGGGGUGCCAAGCAGAGUGCUAGGAGGAGGGGAAUGGGGGAGGAGGAGGAAGAGGAGGAGGAGGAGGAGGAGGAAGAGGAAGAGGAAGAGGAAGAGGAAGAGGAAGAGGAAGAAGAGAGAAAUAAUGAUGAUGGGGUCUGGCUUUUCUGAUGCUGAUGGAUCAAAAUUAGGUGAAACUGGGGGAUUAGUAUGGUAUCUAGAACCGUAGAGGUCACUAGGUUAGUAUGGCAUUUAGAACUGUGGUGGUCACUAAGUGGCCUUUGUAAGACACUUGGUGGAGAUUCUCUAUGGAGAUGGUCCUGUUGCUCUAUUUCCCUCAUUUCUGCCAAAAAAAGUUUCCUUUGUCCAAGAACUAAGAAUUUUUGACAUUUCAAAAACUUGGUUAAGACAUGGUUCCUCAAAGGAAGUUUCAAAAUCUGGUGUCAGAAGAAGAGGAAAUGAGCUCUGGGCAUUCAGUACCAACAGAUGUCCACUUUGGCGCAGACAGUCUGUUGUGCUAUCUGUCAGAACCUAUCUGUGCUCCUGCCAUCAACUACGUGUGAAAUCAUUUAGGAUGGAAGCUCUUACAGGAAGGUUUACAGUUCUGUGGUGUUCAUGGGCACUAGAUUAUACCAUUUUCUGUGAAAGCAGUAUAUCAGCCUUCAGGACAAGCCAGUCCAGUUUAUCCAUGACCAUGGCAUGCCCUGUGAUCAACUGAGGUUCUCUUUUCCCACAGAGAAAAUGGUUCUCAGAUAUCCUUAGGGUUACAGAUGUUCUCCCCCUAGUCAAAAGUCAUCCCUCACAGGCCAUUCUUUGAUUCACCUGUUGGGAUUUCCCUGAUUUUUUUUUUUUAAAAAGUGUGUGCAUGCACAAUAAGCUACAGUACAUGUGUGAAGGGUAGAGGACCACUUCCUGGAGUUGAUACUCUCCUUCCGCCUUGCUGAAACAGGAUUCUCUUGAAGUUUCUGCAGUACUUUGUACUCCAGUCCCACUGGUCCCUGAGCUCCUAGGCAUUCUCCUGUCUCUGUUUCCUGUCUUGCAUAGGGAUGCUGGGGUUACAGAUGCACAUAUGCCAUCAAGGCUUUUAAUGUUGGUUUUGGAAAUCAAACGCAGGCCAUCAGGUCUGCACAGAAGACCUGGAAAAUAAUAUAGUUUUGGGUUGGUCCAUUUUAAGUAGACAAUUUUGUAUGUCAAAAUUAAAUGAUUGGCAUUUCUUAUGAGUUGUCCUAUUAACAUACAGAUUUUCAAGGUAUCAAGGCAAAUAUUGCAGUUUUCUCCCCUGGUAUAGUCUGAAAGUACUUCCUGUGACUCCCAAGCACUCAAACAGAGCAGUUGCUGUGUGGGUUAGCGUCAGGGUGCGUGGGUUAGCGUCAGGGUGCAUGGGUGGCCCGUGCUGUGAGCAGCACCUCUUGAGCUAUGCAGCACGCAACCUGCACCAGGCCCUUUACUUUUUCUAUGAGGCUAAAAUCUGCUGUUAAAUCAAAACCUACCAAUUAAUGCUUUGAAUACCAUCCUGAUCGCUGGUUAUUGACCCGUGUUCCAGAGCUGUUCCAGAGCUGAGGGAGAGGAAGUCUCAGUGGCUAAAGACUGUGGGAAGAAUUUGAAUGUCCCCAUCAUAUGGCAGCCCGGUCAGUUGCAACAGUGAGCCACUGUGUUCACGUGUCACAGGGAAGCAUGUCACAGGGAAGCGUUUCUGCUGUUCUUUUUCUUUUCGUUUCUUAACAAUCAGCACCACUGAAGAGACAGGAAAAUGAACAUUCUCAAGUUGGCAAAAGUGUAAGUUGAACUUUUCUGAAUGGUAGUUUGUCUGUAAUUAUCUAAGGCAUGAAGAUUGUUAUUAUCCUGACCCUGACCCUACAAAAAUUGUCCAAGAAAGCUCUCCAGAGUGCGUGCAUAAAUGUUCCCUGGGGACAUGUGCUGGCACGCUGUCUGCAAGAGUGACAGAGGGAAAUAACCUAGCAUAUUCAGCGGAGAUCAGGAGAAAGGGUUGUGAGCCUAAAGGAAAAUACUGUAAUGAGGACCAGGUUAUCAAAGUGAGCAGUCAAGACCUUGACUAUAAAAUAAUUUCCUUGACAUAAAAUAUGCACAGAAAGAAGACCAAAAGGAUGAAAAUACUGAAACAGAUUGUUUAUAUAGAUUUUAUUUUUCUUUUUGAUAUUUUUUGCACCUUCUGAAUUUUAACAAGCAUAUAUUAUUUUUUCUGCUAAAAGAAAUACUAAGUGCCACUUAGAAAUAGCUUUCAUUUAAGGUAAUCAGAAAGUACUAAUUUACUAGUAAAAAUUAAUCAGAGUUAAAAGGAUUAUAGAAGGGGUCAGGGAUUUAGCUCAGUGGUAGAGCGCUUGCCUAGCAAGCACAAGGCCCUGGGUUCAAUCCUCAGCUCCGGAAAAAUAAAAAAAAGGAUUAUAGAAAACUUGAUGACUUGCUUAUUAGCCUUACCUUCAACUAUUUGUGUAACUUUUCUACCAGCCCACAAACAUGCAGUCUCUCCCUGAGAGUUAGUAUCAUCAUAGAAUAUCAAGAGCUUAGCUAUGAACCAUUCAGAAAAUUAUUCUAGAAACGAGAAGCAAAUACAUCUGGAUUUGAAUGAAGACGAAAAGCAGUAAAGGAACCGAAAUGAUGGAAUCAAAGAGGUUGGCUCAGAAAGUCUUGUGUUUUGAUGCAAUGCAUCUGUGAGAAGGGCAGGGCUGUCCAGAAGCAGGUUUCUAAUUCUUUUACUAUCAAGGCUGUGGACUAUUGGGAAAAAGUCACAUAUUUAAAACCACCACAACAAAAAUAACUGGCAAAGUCAUAGUCAGAUUGGCAGCAGCCACCUGGAGUCUCCUGCCCAGAGCAGCGGCUCCACCGAAGGACACAGGGAUCGAGUGACUGUUUAGGGCAGAGCAGACCUUGGCAUCACUUAAUUCAGAGUCUCCAGGAGGUUUAAUUUGAUAGAUAGUUGGGAUAUUUUUCCUUAAAAAAAUCAGUAUCUCAUGUCAGAGCAAUGCAAGUGUAUAGCUUAGACUCGAGUGGACGGAGUGGGCAGUGACCUGCAGUCUCCCCUCCUACCUCUGCCUCCCGACCAGGGCUGCCUUUAGCCUUUGCACAGGGUCGUCUGACAUGUGCGUCUGUUCAGCGUCAGCUGAGGUAGCUGCUGCUUUCCUGUCAGACAGCCAAACCUUUCACCCUCCAAGCCAUCUCCCGGCAGCGAUGGACAGGUCUGAGGUAGGCUAGCAUUCCCUGCCUACGUCAGCAUCUGAGUAAGUCUUCCUUCCCCCGUAGGUUUCCUUUCCUGUGCUGCCUGUAUCCCACUGCCAUCAGUAAGGCCAGCUUCUCUGCGUGCCUAGUUGGCUCUUCUGUUUGGAACUGUUUUUUUUUUCCCUCCUAAGCCAAGUUAAAUCCACAUUUAGUUUAAUUUCGAUGGUCAGUAACGUAACAGGUGUCUUAUCCUCCCUCUGUGGCUUUGGUUUUGUUCUAUGUUUUACUUUUCCCAUUCUCUUCUUGUCUGUUCACUUUUGAAAUCUCCCCUCUGAGUCUUUUGUCCUGUUUAGUUUCAGCUGGCUGCUCUUUUGUCAUUCCCUGUCCGCUGGCCUCUAGCCCAUGUUGACUCUCGCACUAAACGUCUCUUCCUCUUUCUAGGUUCCCAGCCUCAUCUGGGUGGGGCCCCCUUCAGCAACUGCUGAAAGCAGGCGAGCACGGGAGGGAAGAUGCGGUGGAAGCGCCUGCAUCUCUUAGGGUCUCCUGUCACAGCGCUCCCACCCACCCUCUGCUUCCAGAAAGGAUGUAAAAGUCUUGGUCGUUUGUUUUGUUUUCUAGUCUUUUAUGUGCUAGGAGUUUAUGGUGAUGUGUUUUGGCAGAAGUUAGCUCCUGUCCCCUGUGAUCCACCCAUUUUGUGAUUUGUGUAUUGUGUGGGAGCAUUUGUUCCCUCCCAAUCAGAAAUUCCCAUCUUUCAGUUCUGGAAAUUUCUCUCAUCUCUGAUUUCUUCCCUUUGCUUUCUGUGUUCACAAAGCCUUCUGAGUCACAGCUGUGCUCUGUUUCGUCGUGGUGCUCACACACAUGUGUUUACCUUCUAGGAUAUUUCCUUGACUUUAUGAUCAACGUUUUUUUUGCUAACUUUUUUUUCUUUUAUUGAAAAUAGAUUUUUUUAUUCACUUUGCAUCCCGACCUCUGACCCCUCCCCUCCCCAGGCCUGUCCCUCCUCACCUCCGAGUUCCACCCUCACAAAUCCCAACCCCCAUUACUCCGUCUCCUACUCCUCAGACGAGGGGGAAGGCCCCCUUGGGUGCUACCAUAUCUAGGGACAUCCUCUCUGUAGGCCUAACAGCAUGCUCUCCUACUGAGGCCCAACCAGGUAGUUCAGUUAGGGGGGAGGGAUCCAGUGGCAGGCAACUGAGUCAGAGCUAGUCUUCACUGCACUUGUUAGGGACACACAUGAAGACAAGUUGAACAUUUGCCCCAAAUCUGUAGGCCUAGGUCCAGCCACUGUGUGUUCUUGGGUUGGUGGUUCAGUCUCUGGGAGUGCCCUCAUGGGCCCAGGUUAGUUGACUCUGUAGGUCUUCUUGUGGUGUCCUUGACCCCUCUGACUCGCUCAAUUCUAUGCCUUACUACUUCACAAGAAACCCUGAGCUCCACCCGAUGGUUGGCUGUGGGUCUCUGCAUCUGUUUCCAUCAGCUGUGAAUGGAGCCUCUCAGGAGACAGUUCUGCUAGGCUCCUGUCUGCAAGCACAGCAGAGUAGCAUUAACAGUGUCAGGGGUUGGCUGUCUCACAGGGGAUGGGGCUCAAGUUGGGGCAGUUGCUGGUUGGCCAUUCCCUCAGCCUCUGCUCCAUUUUUAUCCCUGUGCAUCUUAUAGGCAGAACACAUUUUGGGGUGAAGGUUUUGUGAGUGGCUUGAUGUCCCCCUUUCUCCACUGGAAGUCCUAUCUGGCUAGAAGAGAUUCCACUUCAGUCUCUACAUCCCCCACUGGUAGCAGUCUCAGCUAGGGUCACCCCCGCAGACUCCCUGUAGCCUUCCCCAUCCUAGAAUUCCAGCUUGUCUCAGAGAUCCCCCAUCCCCCCCACCCAUUUCCAUUCUCACUCCCAGUCCUCUCUCAGAUCAGUAUUUUGGUUAUUUUUGGAUACAUUUCUAAAAGUUUGGCUUUAUUUUCUGAGGCCUUAAACAAAAGCACACUCUUUCUGCUCUCACAGACUCAUAGUGACUGUGACUGACUUCUUUCUUGCUUGCUUUGUUUCUAAGUAUGUUUUAUUUCUGUAGAUUUCUGCUUUUGACUUUGAAGACUUUUUCUCAUUCUUCUUUAGUCUUUGCUCAAUAUAUUGGAUGUACCACCACCCAUGAUUUAUAUGCACCAUAGAGAAUAUAUCAAUUUUUACAUUAGUUUUCUUAUCAUCAUGACCAAACACCCAACAGAAAGGCAGCUCAGAGGAGGAGGAGCUCAUUUUGGCUCACAGUUCAGAGGAAUAAAGUUGUGGGAAAGCAUGGGAGACACAGCUUGGUCUUUGGUCUGGGCCAGCAAGCAGAGGAAGGAGAACACCAGGGCUCAGACUUUCCCUUAUUCAACCUGAGCUCAGAGCUGAGAAGCUGGAAUCAUCCAUGCUCGGGGUGGGUCUCUGGAAAUGACAGAUCUGUGGCCCCAGUCAAGUUGGCCAUGAAAAUUAACCCUUACAGUGCCUAACCAGUCAAACUCACAGUUCAAUUUCUUUUUCUGGUUGGUUUUUCUACUGAAUUCUUAAAAAGCUUUCCUCACUCUGCCUGGUUAUCUCACAAAGCUAGAAAAAUUCUGUCUUUUCCAAGUUACAUUCCCUUCCUGUUGUCAGAGUUAGUUUUUCCCUCUGUACUACAGAGAGCCUCCGCCAUAUGUAAAUCCCUUUCCCAAGGGUGGGGCCCUCAGAUACUUGAAGUGAUGCUGUCUUGGCUCUUCCUUGUGUGCCAUUUCCUAACCUCAAGACACCUAAAACUAACUCUUUCCCUGAGCACUUUGUUGCGUUUUUUUUUUUUUUUUCUUUUCUUUUUUUCGGAGCUGGGGACCGAACUCAGGGUCUUGCGCUUGCUAGGCAAGCGCUCUACCACUGAGCUAAAUCCCCAACCCACUUUGUUGCGUUUUAAAUAUGAAAUGUCCCCCUUGGCUUCAGGUGAGGGGCAUUGGCUUCCAGCUUAGGAGCUUUGGGAAGUAACUGAGUUCUAAUCAAAUGGCUACUCUCUUGUUGGACAUCUGAUAUGGUGGCACUAUAGGGAGGCAGUGAAAGUAGGUGGUAGGAGCCUUGUUGUAAGAUUAGCUCACUGUGGCCCUCAGGUGCUCUAUCUUGUCCUGUUCCUCCUCUUAUAUUCUUCUCUUUCUACCCCCUGCCCGCCAUACGGUGGGAACCUCCCUACAUGUCCUGUUGCCAGGAUGUUCUGCCCCAGCUCCUGGAGCCAAAUAGUCAUGUGAUUCCUCUGAAACUGAACCAGAGACAAGUCUCCCUUCUCUUAAGUUGUGUUCGACUUGGUCACCAUGGGGUACCUGACUAACACAGCCGCUCUAAGUGAAUAGACACCUUUGGAGAGAGCUUCAGUCCAUCUCCUGGCUGCAAAGGUCUCACUUGGUGUGUGUCUACAUCUUAUUAUGGCUUUGCUUUGAAAGAAAGCCUUGAACAAGUCUCUCUAAGUGUUCUCUGCUUUUGGCCAGCUAGGAACUUUCACAUAUCUGCGUUCCUGGCUUCAGUGCAUUCCUCACACAUUCUAAUUGCUGGAACUCUUAUUUCACAUGCUCUCCAAAUUAGGGGUGUGUGUGUGCGCGCGCGCGCGCGCGCGCGCGUGUGUGUGUGUGUGUGUGUGUGUGAUCCUUGUUGGCUAUUGCUUUUGUUCUUUUGGGUUUUGUUCUUUUCUUUUGAGUCUCUUUUCUAAUUAAUCACAAGUGAAAGUGUCAAGUCUAUUUGAAAAAUGGAAAAAAAAUCUUGUUAAUGUAAAGUGAAUAAAUAAAACUAUCAGAUGUAUAUUUGAGAAUAAAACCACAACAUAAACAGGCACUUCCCAGACAUCAUAUUACACACUCAGUUUAAUCUGUUAUUAAUUUGCCCUCUACAACAACCUUUUGACAUGAGAGCUAUCGUUAUACCCAUUUCAUAGAUGAGGAAUUAAGGCCGGUGUUGUACAACUAGGAGGGUGGAGGGUGUGAUGCAGACCUAGUACCACAGCCCACUUUGUGCUAUAACCUGGAAAAGCCAAGCUCUCCCCUUACAUGUUCUGCUAAUGAUAGCUGACACCUCUGAUCCAUCUUGCCCAGUGAGACGUUCUCUAUGUUUCCCUUCAGAACAUGAUAAAGGUAAAAGCAUUUAUUUUACAGAUCCACAUUGACAUCUUAGUGUUAAUUUGUAUAGCCCUUUAUAUGUCAACAAAUGCAUGGCCCAAUGCCUGAUACUGAGUACAGGUCAAGCAAUCAGAUAUCUUCAGGUCAGAGCAAACACAGUAUGGAUGAGGAUGUGAGUGAUCUGGGGAAGUUCUCUGACUUCAAUACCUUUUAGAACUGUUUAUCCCCAUACUAAACUCUCCAUAGGCUUUUUGUGUUUGUGGGUUUGCUCUCUGUAUUUUUUCCCUUCUUUGUUGUUAGUGUUCUCAAUAGAAUAUUUAGAGACAUGAAUUGUGCCUGAAACUCUUUGCAUAUGGGGCAGAGUAAGAAGAAGUUGCCUCGGGCAUUUCCAAGGGACAGGAACAAAGCCCUGCUUGAUCCAGGCCAUGGCUGCAUGUAUUUGAAGACUUUUGAGCCAAGGUGUGGGGUCCAGCUGCAGGGUCAUCUGGGAAUUACAGCCUUGGUUUGUGUCCAAGUUACUGGGGCAGAGGAAUUGUUCCCAGGGAUUCUGGAAAAGAAUUCAGACUCUUGGGGAAUGUAGUGAAGAGAAACCAGUGGGAGAAGUCACCCUACCAAUUUCAUCCGAAUUUAAGGUUAAGCUCUGGAUCUGAGGGUGGCAUUGAAAGAUGGGCGGGGACCUGGGUACCAGACAGGAUGUUGGUUGUACACCCCAUUAUAUACUGGGCAAUGGAUUUGGAACCUCCCAAAGGAGAGAUAAAUCCCAGACAUUGAGCACAUGUGAGCAGCUAGUUUCAGAUGCCUUCUAGCUAAUGGAAGAAAACGAUCAUAUAUAUUCCAGGAAUUAGAUGAGACUGAUCCUUAAAGGACAAACUUACCAUCUUCUGUAGGACAGGGUAGAGCUGGCUAAGACCAAAUGAAGGACAGAUGGCUGAUGGGAAUUCUGUGAGUUGCAGCUGCUUGCAUUCUUGGGGUCUUGGUCCCUCCUGUGUUUUCAGUCACUUGAUUUAGAAUAUGCUGGUCUGCCCUGACAACCACCCUGAAGCUCUAGAGAGCUAUGGAGGAUGAAUGCUAACUGGUGGCCUUCUCUCUCCAUCCCGCUAAUCCCAAAGAAGGUUGUCCAUAUGGAGUAUUCCAUCACGCAGGAGCAUCCUCAUAGCCAGGCGGUGUCUCCUGCCUAGAGUCCCAGUACCUAAGAUGCUGAGGCAGGAGGCUGGUGAGGCCAAGACCAGCCAGGGAAGAGUAGGACGGUCAAGCCUACAGCCCGAGGUCAUUCCCUGGGAUCCUCGUGGUGGAAGGAGAAAAUCAACUUUGCAAAAGUUAUCUCCACGCUAAUGCCUACAUACAACACAUAAAACACAAACUAAUUAACUAGAUGAAUACAAUAAAAAAACACCAAAACAUCUAGACUGGGCUACACAAUGAGGUCCCGCCACAGGCAAGGGAAGAGCCCUUGUGAUGUAGGGUCUGUUAAUUCCUUUGCACGGUUUUCUGAGAGCAGAACUGAACCCUCCUCGGUUCCUGCGCUGUCUUCUUUCUGUUUCUACUUUAUUUUGUAGACUAUCUCCUUUUUGUUUCACUUUCAAAGUCAGAUAUUGACAAACUGUGUGGGUCUUGCAGGGUGUGGCAAGACCCAGAGACCAUGUCAUAGAAGGAGGAACUUGUCAAAAGAGGUAGUAAAAAAUGGAUGUGGCUGCUGUUAACAAGGAAGCACUAAGCAAACAUUGCCAACUUGUUCCUGGUCAUUCAGAAAGUGUUAACUAUUUCAAGAGCUGCUCACGUGAACUUGGCAAAAAACAAAAACAAAAACAAAACAAAAAAACAAAAAAACCCAACAAAAAACAACAAAACAAAACAAAACAAAACAAAAAAAAACAAUCUAAUGCUGGAGGGCCACUGAAGAAAGUUCUUUAUUGGUGACAGGAGGGUAGGUGAUGGUGGGCUAGGAAGAUGUGAAGGCAAGUGGCCACACCCACGUCUCCUCAGUGACUCUGCCCUUCUGUUCAUCUCACCUCUGUGUUCUCCUCCUUUGCUGUCUCUCCAUUUCCCAACAGCCUUUCUGUUCUUUUACCAAGUUCUGGAUUGAUUAGCUAGAAUUCUAAGGCUGCUUUUCAACUUCUGGUCUCCAGGACCACAAAUGUCUCCGGUUUUAAAAUUCUUCAGAGACAGUAGCUCCUUGGGGACAAAGGCUCUAGGCAGAUGUCUGGGAUAAGCACACGGGGAUGCAACUACACAUUUGGUUGAAUUGAUACUCAGCCCCACAUGGGCUGGGCUCAUUCCUCUGCUUUAGCAUCAGGAUUUGUGUGUGUGUGUGUGUGUGUGUGUGUGUGUGUGUGUGUGUGUGUGUGUGUGUAAAUACUGUGUCUUACGGAGUUUAUUUGAAAAAUCCAAGAAGAGAGCAAACACACACACAUUUUUUGAGGUAGUCAGGACAAUCAAAAUGUGACGUUUUAUGAAUAUUUCUGCUCUCGUACCACAUUUUCACUCCCUGGACCCGGUUUCACCUUGAAAAUGUGCUGAUUCACAAUGAUUUGUAUAAUGGGGGGGGGUGGUCAUCAUUUACUGUGGGGGAACCAAAAACAGAGACUUUGUCUGUGAUUUCCCAAGGUCAUCCUCACUGGAUUCACGUGAGACUCCAGCAGUGUCUCUGGCCAGCACAUCAAAGAAAACAGGCAAAACUGUCCCUGGAGUUGAGAGCUAACACGCAAGCAGUCUUGGCUAUUUCCUUUCUGUAGGCUGCCGCCUCCCUCCUGUCUGGCGUGAGUGACACGCGUGUUGCAGCUUGCUGCAAUCCUUUUUUUUUUCCCAGGCUCUCUUUUGCACGCUCCCAUAUUAACUAUAGAACAAUCAAACAGUCCAGUUUGUAUAUCAUAUCUUCUAUUUUAGGACUUGACAUUGGCCUAGAAAAUUCAGCUAAGUAUUGUUGAACUUCUUAGUUCAUAGGUAUUCAGAAAAAAAAAAAAAAACAAUACCCGUUUAUAUUUUUCCUGGCAUUUGGUGGUAGGAAAAAAAUGUUUGAAUUUAUUUUAAGGACAAAUCACAUGGCAAAAAAACCCCAAAAAACAAAUAUUUGUGGUUGCUUUGGGAACUUAGUUUCUUAGAUAUUCCCGAUUGUGGAAGGAAAGGAACAGAUGUGGAGAUCUUUGCAAAAAUAAUGGUUUCUAGUAAACUGUUGUUAUCUGAUUCUGAUAACUAUAUCCUGCCUUCCUGAGGGAGGAAUGGACUUGGAUGCUUUAGAUAACAAAUUCUUGUUUAUUUUUCAGAAAGGAAAAGAGGAGGUAAUCUGAUGGUUUGAUGUCAUAGAUGAAAGGAAAAUGGAGACAGGAGAUCCUGUGUCUUAUAGUCCUGGGUGCUUCUUGAAACUGCCUGCCACUUAGUGAUACGGCCCUGCUGCUCACAAGCACAGCUGGCGUGGGGCAUACAUACUUUAUGGAGCUAUGAAAAGCCACCUAGGGAUUGGUUGUCAGUAUGCUUAGCACCAGUUCUCUCUCGCAGCUCUUCGCCCUUGCCAACCUCAGAGACCUGGAGACUCCUAUGAGCCCUGUGCUUUUGUGUAGAGUGCUACCGGCAGGGUUCGGUGACCUGGAAAGGACACUCUGACUGUCCCUCAGUCCUUGAGGGUCCCAGGAAGUAGCAGUUCUGGAGGGCAAUAGCAGUGUGACCUUCCAAAUUACACAGUGCCUGGGUCUUGCUUUUCCCUCAGCACACAUUUAGUGUAGAGCUGGACCCCUUAGACAGUAAGGAGGCACCACUGGCCCCAGCAUCCUUUGCCCCACUAAGUCAGAAAACAAUGAAUAAAGAGAGGAACAGGUUACCUGCUGGGAGAGGAAGUUGGACUGGCAGCUGGCAGGGUAGGUAGCAGCAGGGUGUAAGCUUAGUGUCUGCAAAGUUUCAGGGUUCAACCCACUGCAUGCACUCCAGCAGACCCAGAUGAUAAUGGAGGAGUGUGAAUGUGAGGAGAAGGCAUGGGGAUGACUGACCCAUGCAGAGUCAGCAGCACAGGUAAAGGCUCGAACGCUGUAUGUUGGAGUCUGAAGAAGAGCUACCAUUUGAUGAGGGCACAGCAGCAGCAGCAGCAGCAGCAGCAGUGCACAGGACCAAGCAGCUACUGCCCAUCCCCUUCAUCUUCCCAUGGUCCUGAGAACUAAGCUCCUCUGAGAAUGUUUUUCUCUCUAUGUCCCUUGCUGCCACCACUAGACAACUUCUCAAUAGCAUUCAACAAGGUCCUUGCUUCUGGGCUAACUCCACUAACUUCUGUGGGGGAAACAAAAGAAUAGGAAAGAAGGAAAGAAGCAAGGAAAGAAGGAAGGAAAGAAGGAAAGAAGUCAAACAGGGAGCCAGGCAUUCAGAUGAACCUGCCUUCAGAGCCUGGGCUUGUUUCUUACUAGACAGGCAGUGUCAGUGUCAGGCAGGUAGCUUGACUUCUCUAAGCCAAGUAACUUAAUUUCACUGAGUAUUGGGUUUUUGUUUUUGUUUUACCUGCAAAAUAACUUUGUUAUCUAUCCCUAGCUUAAAGCUUUAAGUGAUGUCAUGGAUACAGGCCUGGCCCAUAGUUAUCCUUGACUCUAGCAGCAGUUUCUAGACUAGUCUAUUUUGGCCAAGAUAUAAAGUCACAGGAAGUAAGAUUGAGCCCAAAGCCAAACCUGCCACUUCUGAAGCAGAAACCACUAGUUGGGGUUUCUCAGAAGAUGCCUGUGUAAACCAGUUAUACUUGACCAAAGGAAGCUGUAGGUAGAUGUGCAGACUGGAAAAGAGAAGAGUUAAAUGUGCGUCAGUUUUGCCUAGUAACAAAAGCAUAGAAUCCCAGAGUAAACCAAGCUUGGGCUCCAUUUCCCACUCUCUACUUAACAUCAUUGAAUGCCUUUGUGAACCUUCUGAUCUUAGGAGUGCCUAAGAGAGGCAGCCGCUGCAGUGGUGAGGUUUCCCUGAACAGAGCCUAGUGAGCAGCAAGCACACAGGACACUGAGGCAGGAGGAUGGCAAAUAUUACACAGUGUGAUGCUACACACAUUGCCUAGGGAGACAGGAGAGUACUUAAGGCUGGAUGCUGGAGAAGCAGCUGGAUUUCUCUGAGGGCCCGAGCCUGUCUUCUGCCCCAUGCCCUCCUACACUCCUUCCCAGGCGCUGCUUCAGUCUCUGCUCUCACUUCCCUUGGGCCAAUCUGCCCCCCCCCCCUUCCCAUGGUGACUCCAAACUUUGUUCUCCCUGUUCACCUCAGCUGUAGCCAGGUUUUGGUAGGAGACUGGCAGAAUUCGUUUUUAUUGUAAAAUCUCCAGGGAUCUUUUCCUCUAACUUUGCCAAUUGAAUUGACUAUGAAAAGAGCAAGAAAUAACGGAGGAUGGGGGUCAUAGCCCAGGACACAAUAUCAGCUUGAAAAGGGUCCGAAGGACAAGCAUAGAGGAGAAGGGAGCAGGAGGGAAGGUCUGCAUGUCCCCGCCCUCCCUGCUAUGUCCUCUGUCUCCGUCUGGGAAAGUGAACCUUGGUUUUUAGAACCUGGUACUCCAAGAAAAUGCAGCUCAGGACUGGGACUCACCAAGCCCAGGUCUGCUGAGUUCUGGCCCCCGAAGCUUUCUGUCAAAAGGAAAAGCUUAGUUCUGUAAGCACCAAAUCCAGUGAGGAAAAGCACCAGACAUUUGAUGUCUGUUCCCUGUGUGUCUGUGUAGUGUAAGUGUGAGUGCAUAUGCAUGUGCAUGUGUGUGUACAGAGGACAGACAUUGACAUUAGGGUUAUUUUCUUUAUUAUUACCCUGUUAUUUACCAUUUUAAAAACAGGUUAACACCUCUUUUUGACCCCAGAGCACAAGUGAUUGGCUAGACUGGCUAGCUGUUAGGUUUUGGGGUUCUCCACCUCCCUCACAUCUCCCCAGUAGUAGGGUUGUAGAUGAGUCCCACCAAGCCCAACAUGGUCCCUGGAGAUCCAGAUUCAGGUCCUCAGCCCUCCUCAAAGGUAGAUAGAUUUAAGGAGAGAGAGAGAGAGAGAGAGAGAGAGAGAGAGAGAGAGAGAGAGAGAGAGAGAGAAAGAAAGAGAGAGAGAGAAGAGAGAGUGAGUGUCAGUCAAGGUAAUGUUUAUCUGAGUGAAAACCUGGAGGAAUGAGGUUGGCAGUUCUUGCCAGGGCUUUGGUGAGACUACAGAGGAAGAAGGACAAGGACAUGGUGUGUAGAUGAUCCAUGCCAGGCAAGAAGGUGCUGGGGUCACACAGCUUCUUCAUGAGUUACAAAGCUGAGACAAGCAGACAGGCUGCCCCCAGGUUUUGCUCAUUAGAUACACUAUUACUACAAAGAUCUUUUCAUAUUAGUGUUAUUUCUAAAGCUACUUAUUUGUAAUGGAAUAAAACACUGUUUGCCUCAUAGGAAUUUGAAAAUAUUAAAUAAAAAUUUAAAGAUGUCACAAAUGUUGCAAAUCACACAAAAGGCUUCACUUUCCCAUUGUCUUUUGAGACAGAGUCAUGAAAAUUCUGAAACACAGUAACUUCAUCUGGUUAUUAAUGAGAAAUCCAAUAUUAAACAUGGGGAAAUUUCUUAAUUGUCCUUGCAGAUCUCUUUUGUAAGGCAAGGGAAGAUGUUAGUGGCCUCCUUUAACUUAAUUUUAAUUCAGAAGAAAGAUAUAUCCAAGGAGGUAGAAGAAAUGACUAGGCCAUUUAGACAUUAGGAAACAUAAGGUGUCCAAACACAUGGCCUCAACUAUAUGUGUCUGUGUGUGGUACAUGCACAUGUGUGUGCAUGUGUGGAGGCCACAUCCCUAUCAGGUUUCCUCUUCUGUCAUUCUUCACCUUUUAAGAUUUAUUUUAAUUUGAUGUAUAUGGGGGUCAUGUGCACUCAAGUGUGGGUGUCUAUACAGGCCAUUAGAAGGCAUGGACCCUCUGAAGCUGGACUUACAGGAGGUUGCGAGCCCCCUGAGUUGUGGGGGCUGGGAAUUAAACUUAGGUCUUCUGCAAGAGCAGUGAAUGCUCUUAACUCCUGAGGUAUCUCUCCAGGCCCAGACGAUAUCUUAGUUUUUGAGACAAGGCCUUUUACUAAACAAAGAGGUUUGAGGCUAGAGUGACUGGGCUGCCAGCACCUAGGAUCUGCCUGUUUUCAGUGCUAGCAUUACAGGUAUAUGCCACUAGACCCAGGCGAAUUGCAAGUUCAUAUUCAUCUUAGGCUUCACAAUGAGUUCAAGGCCAGUCUGGGUACCCCAAUACUCUGUCCCAAGCCUCUUCAUCUGUAAAAUAAGGAAAGAACAAACACAUGAUGCCUUCAUGUACUCAGUUCUUAUGAGGAUCCUUUCACACAUGCCACAUCAUGGUGGACAUCGAUGGCAUGAACAUAUGUGGGAGCGGGCCACUGAGUUCAGGGCCAGCCUGGUCUUUAGAGGGAGUUCCAGGAAGGCCAAGGCUAUACAGAGAAACCCUGCCUCAAAACAAAACAAACAAAAAGAUCAACAACAAUGACAACAAUAACAAAAACCACAGGGAAUCUGUGGUCCAAGUUCAGGCUCCUUAUAACAAUGCUAUCAUGAGGACUGUGGAGGUCCAUGUGAGACCUACCCUAAUUCCUUCUAAGAACAGGGUGCCCAUUGCUUGAUCUCCCAGUAGGUCUCACCUGUUAAAGGUUCUGACAGCUCUCGUGUUGUCACGCCGGGGACCACACUCCCAACACUGGAUGACCAACUGAAGCCAAACCAUAGCAGUAACUGUGACAUUUAAAAAUAGGGUCUGUGUGGUAAGGAAAGGAGAUAGAGAGUGGUUGAUCAGAAUGUUUGAAAGCUAGGAGGAUUCUUUCCAGCAUCACUUGGGCUAUGUAUUUGCGGAAGAUGAGGCAUCUCUGGAUGGUGAGUUGUUUUGGUCUGGUAGAAGCAUGAGCAGGAGAAGGACACAGAGUGAGGAUAAAGGCUGCAGAGGAAGUGGAGCUUCAGGAUGAUCUCACUUUGAUCUAGGAAGAUGCAUUCCUCUCAGUACAGUGUUAGCAUGCAUCAUUGUUCUACAGUGCUUUCUGUUGCCAUGAUAAACACCGUACCACAAGCAACUUGGGCGGAAAGGGUUUAUUUCCCUUCCCUUCCAGGUCACAGUCUGUCACUGAGGAAAGUUAGUCAGGGACUCAAGGCAGAAACCAUGGAGUAACCAAGGCUGCUUCCUGGUUUGCUCCUUAGCUCAUUCUGGUUUGCUCAUGCUCAGUUAGCAGUUAGCCUUCUUCCACAGCCUAGACCCUCCUGCUUAUACAUUGUACAGUGGGAUGGGCCCUCCUGCAUCAACCAACAGUCAAGACCAUGCCCCACAGACAUAGGGUCUGAUAUAGGUAGCUCUUCGGUCUAGGUUCCCUCUUCUUGCAUGACUUUUAACCAGCACAAUAAUUAAGUGUGGGGGGAAGGGCACUAGUGGGAAGGCCAGAGGACAACCUUUUUCUCAGGGCUUAUUCUCUCCUUCACCAUGGGUUGUGAUCACCCUCAGGCCUUCAGUGUGCAGAUGUGCAUUGACAGGCUGCACCCCCUCAGCAGCCCAGUGGUUGAUGGUUCCAAACAAAUGUUCAGGGAUUAUGUAUGCUCUUUAAAUUCUAAGACUGUGUGAUGUACAUCACAGAAAUGGAAGAGAAUAGAUUCAGAAGGCCUCCCCAUGAGCUUGAUAUUUGGGAAAAUAUGGAAAUGAAUAGAGAAGACCCAUUACCACGUGGAAAAGAAACAUCUAAUCCUUGGAAACUGGCCUGUGUUCCAUCAAAUCGGCUUGUAACAAAUUACCAUAAUAUGGGGGACCUGCAAGAAGGUGAUUAAUAAAUUUGGCUGUCUCUCAUAGAAACAGUAUAUUUCAUUUCAACAGGAAAUGGAAAAGGUUUUUAGUUAUAAGAAUUUCAAACAGAAACCAGGGCGGUAAACAGACUCGUGGGCGGUUACUCAUGGCCCGAGCUUGUCAGUACCGGAGGACUUCCUUUCUCCUUGCAGUCUUUUCUGGCAACGUUGUCGCUGUUGGGACUGGAAGGAGCAAACCUAUAGAGUCUGGAAUGUUUCUGUCAGUACUUCAGUCUGAGGAAGGCCUACUGCAGUUUCCUUCUUGGUGUGCUUUAAAGUGAGGUGGAGAAAUAUGGAUUGGAGAAGGAGCCACAGGACUUCCCAGUUAGCUCAUGCUGACAAAAGGAUUGAAGUCCACAAGGUUCUGUCUUUUUUCCUGCGUGGUUCAUUUAUCAAUGAUUGGGAUAAAAGCCUAGAAAGCACAGGUAGCAAAUUGGCCAACAACAUGAAGCUUUCAGUGAGACUGCAAUAUAUUACAGGAAGAAAUGAGAUACCUGUAGGUUGGAGAGUUGGGCUAAGGAGAGAAGCUGACAUUUAAGUGAGUACACGAGGUGAGAAUCCUGAGUUGAUCACUUGUCCGGAGAGGGGGGGAAAGAUCUGAAGGUUAUUACAGAUUCAAAUAUCUGAAAUGCAUAGUCACAUUGGUGGUAAUUUUCAGUUUAUAGAUAAUAAGGUGUAAAAACCACAACUAAAUGACCUUUAGUCACAGAAGCCAGAUGGUUAACAGGUGGUUAACGAAUUGGAGAGCACACACCAGAGUGUCAUUAAGGUGGCAUAUAAUCUGAAAGUCAUGAUUCAUGAACUGGGCUUUUUUUUUUUUUUUUGUUUGUUUGGAGGACAGGACACUUGAGGCACACAUACUUGCUACCUUUGAAGUCUUGAAACGAUGAUGUAAAAUGAACACACUCUUAAGUUGUUUGAUGGUCUAGUGCUGGGUCAGUUUGGUGGAAGUUAGAAGGAAACUAAACUUGGGCCAAGACCAGAGCUUCCUAACAGUUACAGGUGUCUACUGUUGGCCUGGCUGACUAUGAAAUACUGUGUGUCCCAUGAGGAAGAAGUUACUAUAGAGGUUGGAACCGUCUCUUGGGAAUUCUGCAGCAGCAGUUAGACCAGGUCCCACUAGCGUUCAUUAGAAUCACCUGGGGAGGUUAAGUAUGACCAUAGCCUGACCUCUGCACCGAGAGCCCAGUGCUCGGGAAAGGACUGGGACAAUCCCUGGAUGAUUCUUCUCUGCAGUCAGUGCUGGGAAUCUGCUGAAGGGCGGGGAGUCAACUCCAAGGAUCCUUUCCACGUCAAAGGAGAUAACUGUCAUUCGUAAGCUAUUCUUAAAGUCUGAAUGGGGGAAAGCCUCCCCAUGACAGUAAAUCCAGGUAACCCUUGAGCUCAGGGGAGAACAGAAGAGGCUAAAAGAGCCAGAGUCUAACAGAGAGAACCCAGAAAGGGUACCUACCAGUUUGACUAACUACUAGAGUGAAGCUGGGUUUGAUGGUACAGAACGAGCUGAACAGAAGAUGUGCAUGUCGUCCUGGGAAUUUCAUUGGAUGUGAGCCUUGCAGUUUUACAACCAGGACGGUGCUGGGGAAACGGAGCCCUCCAUGAGAGGGCCCCAUAGGCUCAGAAGAGGGCAGUGCAGAGAGUUUCCCUGUCCUAGUGACUUCCCUUGCAGAAUGAACAUGUGUUAUGUAGCUGUCUGAGAGCAUCACUCUGGUGUGAUAUGCUGCCCCAAGGCCGAGACACCAUGUUCCUUGCAGCUGUUUAUGCCAAUCCAGGAGCCGUGAGUACUGCUUGGACCAGCUCACUUCCUGCCAGCAGGCUGUUUGUGGUUCACAGGCUUCAGCCGAUGCCUUUCACACUGUUCCCUCCCAACCACAGAUGAAGACCCCAAGGUGAUUUGAAGCUCUUUACUUUGAAGAGCUUCUUGUACCUCCUCACCCAAUACUUCAGCCUUUCUGCCACUUUGAGGAACAAUACUCGAAGUGACUUCAGUAAGCUAGCUGGCUCUGGGGAAGGGAAUGGCUGCAUUUUAAAAGUAAGCUAGUGAUGUCUGAGGAAAUUACCUAAUAAGGAACUGAUUUAGAGGCAUGCUGCCCUUACAAACCCUCACAAUUUCUUCUUCUAAAAGGAGAAGUAUGAGAGCGGGUUGGGACUGCUUACAAAAAUAGGGUAGAGAAAACCCUUUCUGAAACCACAGGAGAGGACCCGUACUGUGCUUCAAAACAUAGAGUGUGAAUUCAGCAGUCUUUACCAACUGCACUUCUGAAGGGUUUCAGAAGCCCUCCCUACCUUUCUGCAUUCGCUCUCUCUCUCCCUCUCGUCCCUCUCCUCCUCCCUCUCCUUCUUCCUCUCUCCCUCUCCCUCCCUUUUCCCACCUGUCUCUGUCUAGGUUUAUGCAGCUCUUUCUAGGUAGUACCUUUCCACAGCAUACAGGCAUUAACUUGGGGUGGCUAUGAUGUACUAUAAACCAGUUAGUUUUCAAAGUAUGGUCUCUAGAGCAGUGUCACCAUCAUCACCUGGAAACUUGUCAGAAAUGUGGAUUCUUUGACUUCACCUCUGGCUUGUUGAAUAGAAAACCCUAAGGAUCUGGCAGCCACUGCUUGCCCAAGCCUUUUGAUGUGCCUGGUGCAGGGUGAUGGCUGAGAGCUGCAUUUUACGACUUCGUCUUCAGAGAGGGCUCCUUAGAAGCUCUCCAUCUCACAUAGAUCUGAACCAGGUAAGCUAUAAGCAAAAGACCAUUCCAUCCUGAUCUCUGAGCUGGGUUAGAGAGCGGAGUUCACAUUUGCUUGAUAAAGGAGCUCAUGAGAUCAGAGAUGGGGGAAAAUAGGAAGAGUGGAAUCAGAAGAACAAAGUGGUGACCAGUCCAGUUAAUUCACCUUCUUAACAAAAUUAGAACGCCAGUACCAAAGUCUCUGAAAUGACUAACACAGAGCUGGUUGCAGAGGGAUUUGACAUGGUAUGAACUGGAGUUUUAAAUACAUUGUAUUCUUUUCACCUCAGCUCUGUGCUGACAGGACAACAGAAAUGUUGAAUUUUAAGGAACUGAUUUGAGAGGCUGGCAGUUAGGAAUACUUAUUGCUCUUCCCGAGGACCUGGGUUCCGUUCCCAGCACCCACAUGACUGUUCACAAUUUUCUGUAACUACAGUUCCAGGGGAUCUGGAUCACCCCUUGCUGUCCUCUGGGUCAAGGUACAUGACAUGCGGUACACAGAUGCACAUGCAGGCAAAACACCCAUACACAUAAAAUAAAAAUAAAUCUAAAAUAGGAAGGGAUUUGGUUGCUGCCAUGUUAACCACUUUGAGUUUCAUAGUAAGGAGUCGCAGAGGUGGAAAUGUACAAAGGAAGCCAUCAGGCGUGCUGAUCUUAGUAAUAACCACAUCAGCGAUAACAGCA